rnacentral:rRNA from 1 species
GACGGGUGAGUAAUGUCUGGGAAACUGCCUGAUGGAGGGGGAUAACUACUGGAAACGGUAGCUAAUACCGCAUAACGUCGUAAGACCAAAGAGGGGGACCUUCGGGCCUCUUGCCAUCAGAUGUGCCCAGAUGGGAUUAGCUAGUAGGUGGGGUAACGGCUCACCUAGGCGACGAUCCCUAGCUGGUCUGAGAGGAUGACCAGCCACACUGGAACUGAGACACGGUCCAGACUCCUACGGGAGGCAGCAUG